CAGUAGCGUAUAUUAAAGUUGUUGCAUUUAAAAAGCUCGUAGUUGGUGUUCCGCUUGGUCUCACCCAUGCCAGUCGUGGGCGUGUGCCUUGUGGUCCUCGGUGCGUACACCGCUUUGACUGAAUGCUUCAGCACGGUAUGGGGUUUCGACUCUGCUUCUUGCAGCAUCCGUGUGAGAGUUGCGGGGUAAAGGUUAACAGAGACAGACAAUGGGAUCCGUAUUGAGUUGCUAGAGGUGAAAUUCUUGGACCAACUCAAGACGUUCUGAAGCGAAAGCUCUUUCCACGCAUGUCCUUAUUAA
rnacentral:rRNA from 1 species